rnacentral:rRNA from 1 species
UGGUUGAUCCUGCCAGUAGUCAUAUGCUUGUCUCAAAGAUUAAGCCAUGCAUGUGUAAGUACAAGCCGAGUUAAGGCGAAACCGCGAAUGGCUCAUUAAAUCAGCUAUGUUUCAUUGGAUCUGUAAACCCACUUACUUGGAUAACUGUGGUAAUUCUAGAGCUAAUACAUGCAUCACGUCUCUGACCGCAAGGGAAGAGCGCUUUUAUUAGUUCAAAACUGGUCGGGCCUCGGUCCGUUAACCCACCCGUGGUGAAUCUGAAUAACUUUUUGCUGAGCGCACGGUCUCCGCACCGGCGCCGCAUCCUUCAAGUGUCUGCCUUAUCAGCUUUCGAUUGUAGGUUAUGCGCCUACAAUGGCUAUAACGGGUAACGGGGAAUCAGGGUUCGAUUCCGGAGAGGGAGCCUGAGAAACGGCUACCACAUCUAAGGAAGGCAGCAGGCACGCAAAUUACCCACUCCCGGCACGGGGAGGUAGUGACGAAAAAUAACGAUGCGAGACUCAUCCGAGGCCUCGCAAUCGGAAUGAGUACACUUUAAAUCCUUUAACGAGGAUCUAUUGGAGGGCAAGUCUGGUGCCAGCAGCCGCGGUAAUUCCAGCUCCAAUAGCGUAUAUUAAAGUUGUUGCGGUUAAAAAGCUCGUAGUUGGAUCUCAGUUCCGGACUGACGGUACACCGCCUGGUGCUUACUGUCACGCUCCGAACAGCUAACUAGCCCCGCCGGCUCGCACGGGGUGCUCUUCAUCGAGUGUCCCGAGUGGCCGGCACGUUUACUUUGAAAAAAUUAGAGUGCUCAGAGCAGGCUACUUUAAUGGCCUGAAUGUCUAUGCAUGGAAUAAUGGAAUAGGACCUCGGUUCUAUUUUGUUGGUUUUCGGAACCUGAGGUAAUGACUAAUAGGAACAGGCGGGGGCAUUCGUACUGCGACGCUAGAGGUGAAAUUCUUGGACCGUCGCAAGACGAACUACUGCGAAAGCAUUUGCCAAGGAUGUUUUCAUUAAUCAAGAACGAAAGUUAGAGGUUCGAAGGCGAUCAGAUACCGCCCUAGUUCUAACCAUAAACGAUGCCAACUAGCGAUCCGCCGGCGUUAUUCCCAUGACCCGGCGGGCAGCUUCCGGGAAACCAAAGUCUUUGGGUUCCGGGGGAAGUAUGGUUGCAAAGCUGAAACUUAAAGGAAUUGACGGAAGGGCACCACCAGGAGUGGAGCCUGCGGCUUAAUUUGACUCAACACGGGGAACCUCACCAGGCCCAGACACCGGAAGGAUUGACAGAUUGAGAGCUCUUUCUCGAUUCGGUGGGUGGUGGUGCAUGGCCGUUCUUAGUUGGUGGAGCGAUUUGUCUGGUUAAUUCCGAUAACGAACGAGACUCUGGCCUAUUAACUAGUCGACGGAUCUCCAGCAAUUGGUGUCCAGUUCGCAACUUCUUCUUAGAGGGAUUAGCGGCAAUUCUAGCCGCACGAGAUUACUGAAGAGAUCAACGUGUUCUCCCCCUCCGAGAGGAGCGGGUAACCCGUUCAAUCCCCUUCAUGAUAGGGAUUGGGGCUUGCAAUUGUUUCCCAUGAACGAGGAAUUCCCAGUAAGUGCAAGUCAUCAGCUUGCGCUGAUUACGUCCCUGCCCUUUGUACACACCGCCCGUCGCUACUACCGAUUGAAUGAUUUAGUGAGGCCUUCGGACUGGCGCUCUUGGAUGUUCUACCCCUCGCGUCUCGGCGCAAGGGGUUCUCGCCUCGAGCUGACGGAAAGAUGUCCAAACUUGAUCAUUUAGAGGAAGUAAAAGUCGUAACAAGGUUUCCGUAGGUGAACCUGCGGAAGG